GGGUUGUGAGGUUAAGCGACUAAGCGUACACGGUGGAUGCCCUGGCAGUCAGAGGCGAUGAAGGGCGUGCUAAUCUGCGAUAAGCGCCGGUAAGGUGAUAUGAACCGUUAUAACCGGCGAUACCCGAAUGGGGAAACCCAGUGUGAUUCGUCACACUAUCAUUAACUGAAUCCAUAGGUUAAUGAGGCGAACCGGGGGAACUGAAACAUCUAAGUACCCCGAGGAAAAGAAAUCAACCGAGAUUCCCCCAGUAGCGGCGAGCGAACGGGGAGGAGCCCAGAGCCUGAAUCAGCAUGUGUGUUAGUGGAAGCGUCUGGAAAGGCGCGCGAUACAGGGUGACAGCCCCGUACACAAAAGCGCAUGUGCUGUGAGCUCGAUGAGUAGGGCGGGACACGUGGUAUCCUGUCUGAAUAUGGGGGGACCAUCCUCCAAGGCUAAAUACUCCUGACUGACCGAUAGUGAACCAGUACCGUGAGGGAAAGGCGAAAAGAACCCCGGCGAGGGGAGUGAAAAAGAACCUGAAACCGUGUACGUACAAGCAGUGGGAGCACAGGUUUACCUGUGUGACUGCGUACCUUUUGUAUAAUGGGUCAGCGACUUAUAUUCUGUAGCAAGGUUAACCGUAUAGGGGAGCCGAAGGGAAACCGAGUCUUAACCGGGCGUUAAGUU
rnacentral:rRNA from 2 species